rnacentral:lncRNA from 1 species
ACUGUAUUGCCAGGUCCCUGGAUGUGGUGUGAAGACUGUUCUCUACAAAACUCUAGAAGGCACGAUUUUCAUCAGAUUCACAGCCAGCGUGGCCAUACGCAGUAAGCCUGUAUUAGAUAGAGACGGUGUCUCCCGUCAGGGCAAAGACUUGGUGCUUUUGGUUGCAUAUACCUUAUAAAAGAUUUGGGUUUCCAAAGAUCAGAAUUCUUUGACUGUGAAACAAACUCACUGUGUGUCCAGCAUCCACCUGAGUUUUCUCUGCACCACUCCAAUGUGACUGAGGAGUCAAAGGAAACUGGUGUGAACAUGAAGCUCAUGCUACCUGCUGUGCCAUGAGUAGCAAAGUUCUUUGUGUCUGAUCCUGGAGUCCUGUGUCUUCUGCAGAAUCUGUGAAAUUGUAGCCAGCUAACCUGUUAGCUUGUAAGAUGAUAAAAUCUCAGAUCCUUCACAAUUCUCUAUGAUAUGGUGAUUUACUUCUUGACUACAGAGAUGAAAAAUAUAAGAAAUUGUGACUAACACUGAUAUUUUCUUCCAGGGUUCUUUAGAGGUAUCCUCCAACAGCAAUGGCAGUAAAUAUUCAAAUGAGAACAUAUUUGUGGAGAAGACAAAUAUUUUUGUACAUGUUUAAUUUGGGGUGCUGUUGAUGUAUCUUUGAAAAUAAUGUCAAUGAACUAUAUAUGUUCUGAAAAAUAUGAGGGGGAUCACAUCUAGAAGUAUGCAUUUGGUAAAAAAAUAUGCAUAGAAAUAAAAGAUAAAAUCACAAAAAUGUCUAAGGUUAUUAUUAAGUAGAACUUAGAGAGAAAUGAUGGCUAAGGACAGAAUUUUUAAAAAGAGGGCAUCAAUUGAAGCAUGAGCAGAUGUGGACAAUUUAAAGCGGAAAAUAUUAGGGAAACAGAGGCAGACCCCAGAGAGUACAGUGAUCUAGAGGUCAAGAGAGAAGAGCAUUUAACACGGAAAGAUAAGAUAUUCAGGUCAAAUAAGGUAUAAAGACAGAGGAGGACUUGGAUAGAAGAAAAAAUUGGCAAUGAUGUUCUCUCUUUUAUUGGGUGCUAUCCAUUCAGGGAUUAUGAGUGUUGCAGGCAGAUUGUCUUCAAGGUGUAUCUUGGUUGAAAUAAACAGCACCAAGGAUUAAAGCAACAGUAUAGAACUUCCCAGUACAGAUUAAGAGUAUAGUUUUAGUGAAUCCAGAAGGGUAAU